UACGUAGGUGGCAAGCGUUGUCCGGAAUUAUUGGGCGUAAAGCGCGCGCAGGUGGUUUCUUAAGUCUGAUGUGAAAGCCCACGGCUCAACCGUGGAGGGUCAUUGGAAACUGGGGAACUUGAGUGCAGAAGAGGAAAGUGGAAUUCCAAGUGUAGCGGUGAAAUGCGUAGAGAUUUGGAGGAACACCAGUGGCGAAGGCGACUUUCUGGUCUGUAACUGACGCUGAGGCGCGAAAGCGUGGGGAGCGAACAGG
rnacentral:rRNA from 1 species